GCUCUAUUUCCCUUGUUCUCUACUCUUUUUCCUCUAUAUUUGUCUCUCCUUUUCCUUGUCUUUCCCUUUUAUGGUUUCAGUUUUGUCAGGAAACUGUUUCAGGCUUGGUCAUAGAUUUGAAUUUGAUCAUCUAACUGCUGGAUUUUCACUGACACACACCUGAUCUAUUUUAGUGGGUUUUGACUCAUUGCAGUCAAGCAACUAGCAGAACAGCUGUUUCUCAAUCAAGGCAUUUGGUGGUCUGAUAUUCUUUAUUUACCACUGGUGAUUCAUGAUCGUACAUUGGCCAAGCGGUUUGGAGAAUGGAUGGAGGUACUCUGAUGGUGCCAACAGCUGUUACUGCAACUAUAGAAUCAAAUCGUGUAGAAAAUCAGACUGAUUUCCCUGCUGAAAAAGAGGGAUCAACUCCUCAAGAUGCGGUCUCAACGUCACUGCCUGCUCCUGAGGCAACAGAAGCAACUAACGCAACAGAACUUACAGCGGUUUCCACAACACCACCAGUAUUACAAUCAGAAGCCCAAACAGAUACAUCACAAUCAACAGAAGCUGGACCUAAAGAGACAAAGAGCCCUGAAGCCUCUACUGUCACUAAAGAGGCAGGAGCAGAAACUGGGAAAGCUAAAGAAACAGCGACUCCAUCAGAGACUCCACAUGUAGAGGUGGAGACUGAAGGUAUGGGCACAGGACAGUUGGUGGGGAUCGUAUUUGGCGCUUUGAUCACAGUGAUUGUUGUCAUUGCUAUUAUCAUCUUGGUGGCCAGAAGAAUGGGCCAAUACUCACCCUAAAAAGAAAGGCCCGACAGGACGAGAAGAAGAAGAAAUUCUGGAAGUUAUGAACUAUUGUUCUGAUGUUUAAAACAAUGCAAGCAGCACUCUCACCAUCCAUCCAGGACUUACACGGGGAGCAGGAGAGUGUCCCAUCCCCUUUCCCAUUGAAAAAAUGCCCUCCCCUUUUUUUGUCACCCUGAAAUCCUCAUUUAUCUCUCAACAGGGGAGGCCAGAGGAUGUUACAGUAUAUAUUUUUAAUGCAUAUUAAUUUAACGGGAGAUGAAUGAAUAUGGAGUUUGUGAAGGGCCUAAUAAACAAAAACAAAGAAACA
ensembl:lncRNA